GGGACACGUGGUAUCCUGUCUGAAUAUGGGGGGACCAUCCUCCAAGGCUAAAUACUCCUGACUGACCGAUAGUGAACCAGUACCGUGAGGGAAAGGCGAAAAGAACCCCGGCGAGGGGAGUGAAAAAGAACCUGAAACCGUGUACGUACAAGCAGUGGGAGCACGCUUAGGCGUGUGACUGCGUACCUUUUGUAUAAUGGGUCAGCGACUUAUAUUCUGUAGCAAGGUUAACCGAAUAGGGGAGCCGAAGGGAAACCGAGUCUUAACUGGGCGUUAAGUUGCAGGGUAUAGACCCGAAACCCGGUGAUCUAGCCAUGGGCAGGUUGAAGGUUGGGUAACACUAACUGGAGGACCGAACCGACUAAUGUUGAAAAAUUAGCGGAUGACUUGUGGCUGGGGGUGAAAGGCCAAUCAAACCGGGAGAUAGCUGGUUCUCCCCGAAAGCUAUUUAGGUAGCGCCUCGUGAAUUCAUCUCCGGGGGUAGAGCACUGUUUCGGCAAGGGGGUCAUCCCGACUUACCAACCCGAUGCAAACUGCGAAUACCGGAGAAUGUUAUCACGGGAGACACACGGCGGGUGCUAA
rnacentral:rRNA from 1 species